GAUGAACGCUGGCGGCGUGCCUAAUACAUGCAAGUCGAGCGAACGGACGAGAAGCUUGCUUCUCUGAUGUUAGCGGCGGACGGGUGAGUAACACGUGGAUAACCUACCUAUAAGACUGGGAUAACUUCGGGAAACCGUAGCUAAUACCGGAUAAUAUUUUGAACCGCAUGGUUCAAAAGUGAAAGACGGUCUUGCUGUCACUUAUAGAUGUAUCCGCCCUGCAUUAGCUAGUUGGUAAGGUAACGGCUUACCAAGGCAACGAUGCAUAGCCGACCUGAGAGGGUGAUCGGCCACACUGGAACUGAGACACGGUCCAGACUCCUACGGGAGGCAGCAGUAGGGAAUCUUCCGCAAUGGGCGAAAGCCUGACGGAGCAACGCCGCGUGAGUGAUGAAGGUCUUCGGAUCGUAAAACUCUGUUAUUAGGAAAGAACAUAUGUGUAAGUAACUGUGCACAUCUUGACGGUACCUAAUCAGAAAGCCACGGCUAACUACGUG
rnacentral:rRNA from 1 species